rnacentral:tRNA from 1 species
GCGGAAAUAGCUCAGUUGGUAGAGCAUAACCUUGCCAAGGUUAGGGUCGCAAGUUCGAGUCUCGUUUUCCGCU